rnacentral:rRNA from 1 species
GUCUACGGUCCUGCUUCCCUGAACAAGCCCGAUCCCAUCUGAUCUUGGAAGCUAAGAAGGGUCGGGCCUGGUUAGUACAUGAAUGGGAGACCACCUAGGAAAACCAAGUGCUAUAGGCA